UCAGAGGAAGGUGGGGGCAACGACAGGUCAGUAUGCUCCGAAUGCUCUGGGCUACACGCGCGCUACAAAGGCCAGGACAAUGGNUUGCCACGCCGAGAGGCGGCGCUAUCCCGAAACCCUGGUCGUAGUUCGGAUCGUGGGCUGUAAUUCGCCCACGUGAAGCUGGAUUUCGUAGUAAUCGCGUCUCAAAAUGGCGCGGUGAAUAUGCCCCUGCUCCUUGCACACACCGCCCGUCAAACCAUCUUAGUUUGGGGUGGGUGAGGCUACCUUUACAUGGGGUACUCGAGCCUGCCUUAGACAAGGAGGGUUAAGUCGUAACAAGGUA
rnacentral:rRNA from 1 species